CACGUAGGGUGCGAGCGUUGUCCGGAAUUAUUGGGCGUAAAGAGCUCGUAGGCGGUGUGUCGCGUCGGCCGUGAAAACUUGGGGCUUAACUCUGAGCUUGCGGUCGAUACGGGCAUCACUUGAGUUCGGCAGGGGAGACUGGAAUUCCUGGUGUAGUGGUGAAAUGCGUAGAUAUCGGAAGGAACAUCAGUGGCGAAGGCGACUUCCUGGACCAAUACUGACGCUCAGGUGCGAAAGCGUGGGGAGCAAACAGG
rnacentral:rRNA from 1 species